CGCACCUCCACUGCAGUCGGAUUCUUAAUCCAGUGCACCACAGUGGGACCUCCUUCAUGGGGAUUCUCUGCCCCUCAUCUCCUGCACUCACCCCGGGAACAUGAUGAACUGUAAAAAGGUAUAGACACCACAUCUAUAGCGACAUUUCGUUCAAUCUGGCAUCAGCUACGAUCCCACUGAGCGCUUUCUGGGAGCAGAGACCUCUGCUGGACGCUGUGCCCUUGACUUGCUGGACUGCAGCUUUGUGAGAGAGAGGGGGAGCCUGACUUCCAGAGACGCAGUAAUGAAUUCACCUCCUGAUUGAAUUUGAAAGUGACUGCUUCCCCAGUCAAGCCUUCAGAUGAAAGCACAGACUAGUUGACACUUUGCAACCAUGUGAGACCCUAGUCAGAAGAAGCUAACCCCUGACUGGACUUCUGACCUGCAGAAAUCAUGAGAAAAUAAACGUGUGUUGUUUUAACUCGUUAGAUUUGGAAUCCUUUGUUUGAAGAUUAGAGGACUAAUUAAUUAUACAUGUCCCUAUAUUUGAUUUUUAGCUUAUGAUGUUCUGUCUUUAGUAUGAGUGAAGCUCUUGGAACUUAUGUACAAUGAAUGGGAUAAUCCACCAAGAUAUGAAUAGUGAUUAUGUAUGGAUGGGAGAACAUGGAUUAUUUUAUCCUCCUCUGUACUUUUUAUUGUACCAAAUUUUUAAAUAUGAUAUCUAUAUAAAACAGCCCAACCAUUCAUUUAAAAUAAACAUUUUGUUAAAAAAAAUAAUAGCAUACUCACAGAAAAUGGGCACACAUCUUCAACGUUCAGUUUGGUGAAUUUUUACGAAGUGAACACAUCUAUGUAAUUUCCAUCCAGACAAGAAUUAGAUACUAGCAGCAUCCCAGAAGCCUCCCCUCUUGUCUUCUCAGUCAUUAACUCCAAAAAGAUAAUCAUGAAUUUGACUUGUAUCAGCAUAGGUAAGUUUUGCUUGUUUUUUUGAUUUGUUUGUUUGUUUGUUUUGUG